rnacentral:rRNA from 1 species
CCGAGUUUACAACUCCCAAACCCCUGUGAACAUACCAAUUGUUGCCUCGGCGGAUCAGCCCGCUCCCGGUAAAACGGGACGGCCCGCCAGAGGACCCCUAAACUCUGUUUCUAUAUGUAACUUCUGAGUAAAACCAUAAAUAAAUCAAAACUUUCAACAACGGAUCUCUUGGUUCUGGCAUCGAUGAAGAACGCAGCAAAAUGCGAUAAGUAAUGUGAAUUGCAGAAUUCAGUGAAUCAUCGAAUCUUUGAACGCACAUUGCGCCCGCCAGUAUUCUGGCGGGCAUGCCUGUUCGAGCGUCAUUUCAACCCUCAAGCCCAGCUUGGUGUUGGGACUCGCGAGUUAAACCGCGUUCCCCAAAUUGAUUGGCGGUCACGUCGAGCUUCCAUAGCGUAGUAGUAAAACCCUCGUUACUGGUAAUCGUCGCGGCCACGCCGUUAAACCCCAACUUCUGAAUGUUGACCUCGGAUCAGGUAGGAAUACCC